CAAACACUCCUCGUGCAUGAAAUCAUCUACCUCAGCACCAAUAAUAAUCUUGAUUAGAUGCCCCGUCGCAAUUAAUUGCCGUAUGCUCAUCAGUUCUUUCUAAGCAGAAACAAAUUAAUUAAGCUUGAUUCGUACAAUGCCCUUCUCGUCCUCCUUUUUUUUUUGCUAAAUUUAGUUUGUUAUUGUUUGAAAAUAGUUCUACAAGUAUUUCUGGUUCAUUUUUGUGGUAUUACAUGCGCAGCGUAGUACUUGCAGGCACAGUGUACGUACUUUCUUUCUUGUCCAGGACAGUACUGAGAUCUUCGUCUUCUCCGCUUCUCAAAUGAUGGGCGCAUUGGCUUUACCACAUCUCAAAUGUGUCAUGGAUUUGUCUGUAAAACAUAAUGUAUUGUUGCUUAGAUCAUGUCCAGUACUUCAAAAAAACACUGAUUGUAUACUGUAUACUGCACUGUUUUGAGUUUGA
rnacentral:precursor_RNA from 1 species